CCUGCUCAUUCAGUGGCACUUCCGCCGGCGCUCACCAUGUGGAGGGGGUUUCCUGUCUCGUGGCAGCCUUUCCUCAGUGUAGGACGCAGAGUUUCGGGAUUGCAUCUUUCGUGGCUGUCUGUUCUGUCUUAUCCGCCGCCCAGCGCUAGGGCUCCAGGGCCUUGUUGCAGCGCGGCCACAUGGAGAUGGAUGGAAACUCCCCCGUGGUCGACGCUGCUGGUUCUGCAGCAGCUAGUGGCCCGGCCCUCCCCUCUGCCUGUGCAGAGACCAGAUGGCCCGAUUCUCAGUGUUUGGCACUUACGGAACAAAUGAAAAACAAAAUGGAAAGAAGAGAAGCCCAGUGUUGUAAGGUGUGUCACAUGUCUGCUGGUGAGUGUGUGGGAGAUGUCCUCAGGGUGAACAUGGAUGGUGAUGUCUCAGGUCUGUGCCAGAUGCUGCCAGCGAAGUAGCACAUUGAAGAAUGUCUUGGCCUUAAUGUUCCUUUGAUUAUAAUGUUUAAUAACACUUGUCACAACAGACAUGUCCUACCUGUCUUAGAAGAUCUCCAGUCCUUUCCUAGAGUGUUAUGACCACAUGCUCCUGACCUUUUUCAACUAAAAAACAUACCCAGUAUUUGUAUGCUGAAAGUGUCUUUUGACUUCCUGUGGUCUGAGGAGACAGCGGCAGGAAUUUGGAUGCUGGGCUCAGCAGACCUGGUGAUUGAAAACUCUGGGUGUAGAGUCCUGUUCACUUGCUGUGUGAUGACCUCAAGCAUUGAUAACUUGUGCAUUUAUCUUUCAAGUGGAUCUGGCAUUUGUGAUCUUCAAAGACCUGGCUAACAAGUCUUCCUGGAAGUUUGGCUUCUACUUGCCUUUUGGGUUGGGUCAAAUUGAAUGUGUCCUUGUGAAAUAGGAGACAGCUGGGAGAGCUUUGUAAUAGGCUGGGCAGACAAUGACUGUGGUGGAAGAGCUAGGAAUGGUGGUCUGUCUGUUCCUUUCAUCAAGAUGCCCUGGCUUCUGUGAUCCCACAGGAGCUACCUGGGAGGCUAACUGGGAGGAUCCCAAGUUUGAGGUUAGCCUGGACAACUUAGCAAGAUUCUGUCUGAAAAUAAAAGGGCAGGGGAUGAAGCCCAGUGAUCGAACCCUUGCAUGAGACCUUGGAGUCAACCCCUACUAUGCCCAAAACCAAAAUAAGUUGCUGUGGAACUCAUUAUUACAGCCUGAUGGUGAACUCUUGCUCUGAUUGUGAACUUGAAAGAAAACCAUUUAUUAGAAAAACUUUUAUUUUUCUAUACUUAGGACUUCUAGUAUGGUGUACAUAAAUUAGGAACUGUCUGUUAGCAACUUCUGUGUGAUGUCAGCUUGGGCAAGAGAAAGUGGUGCUGGAGCCUCAGUACUUGUCUGCUUCCUCACCCUCCUAGGUCUCAUCCUUGGAUCUAGAGACUGUCAAGCCCAGGCCUCAGGGUCAAUGCCCUCAGGAUAGCUUGGUGUCUGAGGGUUCUGAUAUUUUUCUCAAUGAUGGAUUCUGGUGGCAGAGAAUGGAGAGUGAGGUUAUCACCUGAAGUGUAAUUGGAGCCAUGGCUGUCCCUGCAGCCUGCUCAGAACAUCGGGGGACAGUUCUUCCCUCUGCACAAGAAUUGGGAUCCAGACAUGGGGACUCCAGCCUGUUCUUCCAACGGGGCCCCUUCCUUCAGCAAAUUGAGCUGUAGAACUCAUCAGUGUGGAGUUCCACGGAGGAAUGCAGCAUGACACAGUCACCUUCCAGACACAUGAGGAUUCUGGGGGCAUUUUAGAUCUAAACCGUAACAGCAUAUGCUUUUCUCAAGCAUAUAUUAAGCAUUUAGAAAUACAGUGUUUUUCAUGUUCCAAGUUAAUAAAAAACAGUCUCACAUACCAAACAAUUAGG